rnacentral:tRNA from 1 species
GGCGUCGUAGCCAAGUGGCCUAAGGCGGGGCUCUGCAAAAGCUCUAUCGCCGGUUCAAAUCCGGCCGACGCCU